rnacentral:rRNA from 1 species
UAAGACUGGAUAGGAAGAUAAAAGGCAUCUUGUAUCUUUUAAAAGACCUAGUUAAUAGGUAUGCUUUAGGAGGGGCUUGCGCCAUAUUAGUUAGUUGGUAGGGUAAUGGCCUACCAAGACGAUGAUGUGUAGCUGGACUGAGAGGUUGAACAGCCACAUUGGGACUGAGACACGGCCCAAACUCCUACGGGAGGCAGCAGUAGGGAAUUUUCGGCAAUGGAGGAAACUCUGACCGAGCAACGCCGCGUGAAUGACGAAGUACUUCGGUAUGUAAAGUUCUUUUAUCGAGGAAGAAAAGCAAAUGGCGAACCAUUUGUUUGCCGGUACUUGAUGAAUAAGCCCCGGCUAAUUAUGUGCCAGCAGCCGCGGUAAGACAUAAGGGGCAAGUGUUAUCCGGAAUUAUUGGGCGUAAAGGGUGCGUAGGCGGUCUAGUAAGUCAGUGGUGUAAUGGCAACGCUUAACGUUGUCCGGCUAUUGAAACUGCUAAACUUGAGUUAGAUAGAGGCGAGUGGAAUUCCAUGUGUAGCGGUAAAAUGCGUAAAUAUAUGGAGGAACACCAGAGGCGUAGGCGGCUCGCUGGGUCUUAACUGACGCUGAGGCACGAAAGCGUGGGGAGCAAACAGGAUUAGAUACCCUGGUAGUCCACGCCGUAAACGAUGAGUACUAAGUGUCGGGUUAAACCGGUACUGAAGUUAACACAUUAAGUACUCCGCCUGAGUAGUACGUACGCAAGUAUGAAACUUAAAGGAAUUGACGGGACUCCGCACAAGCGGUGGAUCAUGUUGUUUAAUUCGAAGAUACCCGAAAAACCUUACCAGGUCUUGACAUGUUUUUGCAAAAUGAUAGUAAUAUCGUGGAGGUUACCAGAAACACAGGUGGUGCAUGGUUGUCGUCAGCUCGUGUCGUGAGAUGUUAGGUUAAGUCCUAAAACGAGCGAAACCCUUAUCGUUAGUUGCCAGCACGUUAUGGUGGGGACUUUAACGAGACUGCCAAUGAUAAAUUGGAGGAAGGUGAGGAUCACGUCAAAUCAGCAUGCCCCUUAUGACCUGGGCUACAAACGUGAUACAAUGGCUGUUACAAAGGGUAGCUGAAACGCAAGUUCUUGGCCAAUCCCCAAAAACAGUCCCAGUCCGGAUUGAAGUCUGCAACUCGACUUCAUGAAGUUGGAAUCGCUAGUAAUCGCGAAUCAGCAUGUCGCGGUGAAUACGUUCUCGGGGUUUGUACACACCGCCCGUCAAACCACGAAAGUUGGCAAUACCCCAAAACGGUAGC